UACAGAGGUCCCAAGCGUUGUUCGGAUUUACUGGGCGUAAAGGGUGCGUAGGUGGCGGGGUAAGUCUGGUGUGAAAGCUCCGAGCUCAACUCGGAAAAGCAUUGGAAACUAUCCCGCUUGAGGGUCGGAGGGGAGACUGGAAUUCCCGGUGUAGCGGUGAAAUGCGCAGAUAUCAGGAGGAACACCGGUGGCGAAGGCGGAUCUCUGGGCCUUACCUGACGCUGAGGCGCGAAAGCUAGGGGAGCGAACAGG
rnacentral:rRNA from 1 species